AUUGAACGCUGGCGGCAGGCCUAACACAUGCAAGUCGAGCGGAUGAAGGGAGCUUGCUCCUGGAUUCAGCGGCGGACGGGUGAGUAAUGCCUAGGAAUCUGCCUGGUAGUGGGGGAUAACGUCCGGAAACGGGCGCUAAUACCGCAUACGUCCUGAGGGAGAAAGUGGGGGAUCUUCGGACCUCACGCUAUCAGAUGAGCCUAGGUCGGAUUAGCUAGUUGGUGGGGUAAAGGCCUACCAAGGCGACGAUCCGUAACUGGUCUGAGAGGAUGAUCAGUCACACUGGAACUGAGACACGGUCCAGGCUCCUACGGGAGGCAGCAGUGGGGAAUAUUGGACAAUGGGCGAAAGCCUGAUCCAGCCAUGCCGCGUGGGUGAAGAAGGUCUUCGGAUUGUAAAGCACUUUAAGUUGGGAGGAAGGGCAGUAAGUUAAUACCUUGCUGUUUUGACGUUACCAACAGAAUAAGCACCGGCUAACUUCGUG
rnacentral:rRNA from 1 species